UCGCAACAAUUUCCACUAGCUGAGUAUGGUUUAUUACCUGAAAAGUUUAGUUAUAUGGCGGUUUUGCGUCUGGCUAGAGAAACAUGUUUAUUAGUACGAUACUCCACGAACAUCUUACUUAUAAUUACCUUACACACCGUCGUCGGAAGAGUUGUCUGAAAAUAGAGUUCUUAUACUGUAUCAGUAUUAAGUCAGAUCAAGGCGUAGGAUCUAUUUAUAAGAUUGAAUGUGUCUCAUUAUAUUACUAUGAAUUAGAUAUGUAAUUUUCUAUGAAAAAGAAUUUAGGAGUAA
rnacentral:rRNA from 1 species